rnacentral:rRNA from 1 species
AUUGAACGCUGGCGGCAGGCCUAACACAUGCAAGUCGAACGGUAACAGGAAGCAGCUUGCUGCUUCGCUGACGAGUGGCGGACGGGUGAGUAAUGUCUGGGAAACUGCCUGAUGGAGGGGGAUAACUACUGGAAACGGUAGCUAAUACCGCAUAACGUCGCAAGACCAAAGAGGGGGACCUUAGGGCCUCUUGCCAUCGGAUGUGCCCAGAUGGGAUUAGCUAGUAGGUGGGGUAACGGCUCACCUAGGCGACGAUCCCUAGCUGGUCUGAGAGGAUGACCAGCCACUCUGGAACUGAGACACGGUCCAGACUCCUACGGGAGGCAGCAGUGGGGAAUAUUGCACAAUGGGCGCAAGCCUGAUGCAGCCAUGCCGCGUGUAUGAAGAAGGCCUUCGGGUUGUAAAGUACUUUCAGCGGGGAGGAAGGGAGUAAAGUUAAUACCUUUGCUCAUUGACGUUACCCGCAGAAGGAGCACCGGCUAACUCCGUG